ACCUAGCCCGCACACAACUGUUGGCUCUGAUGAACACUCCUGGAGCACCUACUGUGUGCCAAGAACUAUGCCAGGGGUCUAUUCUCAUCGCACUUGCUGCAUUUAUGACUUCAUCCCCGAGGGAGGAUUCAUGAGCCAAGAGAUGCAUGAUUUUUCCACUCUAUAUAUACACCUGCUGUGAACUGCAGACUGGUAGGCCAGAAAGGAUGGAUGAAGAAUAGAGAAAAGAAAGUAUAGUGAGCAUGCAAGUCAGGUGCUUGUUUGUACGAGGCAGAUGUUCACCACCAGAGCUUCGUGGAUUUCAUCACGAAAUUGAGACGAUGGCAAUUUCAUUACCGCCCAAUCGCAGCACCUCUCCAGUGUGAAUGCACUACUGCUCUUUCCCUGCGUUACUAACGCUGCCUGGCUACGUGGCAUCAGCAGAGAGAUCCAGGACCUGCCUCUGGCUACACUUGGAUGGAGAGUCUGCCACAGUCCACAGGUAGAGGCUGCCCUGCUGUUGAGAGCCAGACUCUU